rnacentral:rRNA from 1 species
GAGUUUGAUCAUGGCUCAGAAUGAACGUUGGCGGCGUGGAUUAGGCAUGCAAGUCGUACGCACAGCUUCGGCUGUGAGUGGCGCAAGGGUGAGUAAUGCGAGGGUAACCAACCCUGGAGUUGGGCAUAACCCGCGGGAAACUGCGGGUAAUUCCCAGCGAUGUCGCGAGAUGGCAUCAUCUUGCGACCAAAGGUGUGAUUCCGCUCUAGGACGGGCCUUCGUGGUAUUAGGUAGUUGGUGAGGUAACGGCUCACCAAGCCGACGAUGCCUACCGGGUGUGAGAGCAUGACCCGGCACACUGGAACUGAGACACUGUCCAGACACCUACGGGUGGCUGCAGUCGAGAAUCUUCGGCAAUGGGCGAAAGCCUGACCGAGCGACGCCGCGUGAGGGAAGAAGGCCUUCGGGUUGUAAACCUCUUUCGUAGAGGAGGAAGGGGCCGUGCAGAGCGGUCUUUGACCUAUUCUAGGAAGAAGCUUGGGCUAAGUUCGUG